GGGAGUGCUGAGUGAUGGAAGCGUGAUCCAGCUGGCUGAGCAUCAUCUCUGGCAACAGGUCACAGAAGAAGAAACACUCCCACAGGUAUGAUGUGCAGAUGUGCAGACGGGAAGAGACAGAAGUUUAAUCAGCAGAUGACGCUGCAGAUGUCCAUACUGUAUCCUACCUUUAGGACUGAGUGGGUCUCCCUCCAGAUAAAAGGCUCCUCUGCGCAGCGCCACCUCCUGGAGGAUGAUGCCGAAGCUGUAGACGUCUCCUUUCUGAGUUCCCUG